UACGUAGGGGGCUAGCGUUGUUCGGAUUUAUUGGGCGUAAAGAGCGUGUAGGCGGCCAGGUAGGUCUGCUGUGAAAACUCGAGGCUUAACCUCGAGAUGUCGGCGGAAACCAUCUGGCUAGAGUCCGGAAGAGGAGAAUGGAAUUCCCGGUGUAGCGGUGAAAUGCGCAGAUAUCGGGAAGAACACCCGUGGCGAAGGCGGUUCUCUGGGACGGUACUGACGCUGAGACGGGAAAGCGUGGGGAGCGA
rnacentral:rRNA from 1 species